rnacentral:piRNA from 1 species
UUUCAUGAUGGCCUUUACUGUGAAGCUGAG